AUUUGUCUAUUCCAAUUCCUCAGCUGUUUACCGAAACAGUGGCGGGGAAGCCUGCUGUGUUAUUGUUUGAACUGCAGAUUGCCUCUUCAAUCGAGAUUCGGUAAUAGACCGUCGCGAGAACACCACAGAGAAGACAACUUUUCCGUCUGCUCUCGUGGAGUCUGAGAUGGUGAAGUUAACACCCAAUCAUGUCAUACCCCAAUUACCUCCAGGUUUCAGCAGGACAAGCAUUGUGCCCCAUCCAUAAGAGAGAGCAGAUUAAGCUUUUCUGUGUGACUUGUGAUCAGCGGACUUGCCGUGAUUACCUCGACUAACCUGUACCAGUUAGCCCAGGAUGCUUUGCCAGAGCAGAGGAAAUGGUUACAGUAUCUAAUGGAGACUUUGAGGACAGAGAGAGUGACCGUGCAACAGGACCUAGAUGGACGGCUGUCUGACUUGGAGGAUCAGCUGGAGAGUGUUGGAGCGGAGGUCAAGGAUAUCCUCAAGGGCAUCUGGAGUGUCCUGGUGAAGAGAGCCAUGCAGCUUUCCAAGGAAAUGCAGCUUUAGGUCAGUGUCCCCAACUGCACUCAGGAAGAUGACAUUGACCUCACCCUUCACCUAGCAAUGAACUCUGCUCUCCUAUAGAGGAGUGUGAUGACCGUAUGGAUGAUUUUCAUGUCGGUGCUGCUGACAGUAUUGAAGAGACUGGGUGCCAGGUGUCUGUUGGGCUUAAUAGCAGGUGUCUUUGCUUCGGAUACCCAUCCUUGGUGCCCCGCCAACCCGCUUCUGCCGCCUCCCAGGUGUCAAAGGGCAGGAAACUGUCGUUCAGCAGUCAGAGUCUCCUUGCUCCUCUAUGUUGAGCCCAGACAGUCUUGAGGCACACCCCGUGCAGCUACGACCCCCUCCUGGCCAGGAGGAAGCUCACCCCUGUGUGUCACGUGUGGACGCCGCUUCCACAGGAAGUGUCACAUUCUGCCCAUCUAUGCCUUAUCCACCACGUAAGCUUGUUUUAAUUAACCAAGUUAAUUGCAUUCUGAAUGAACAUGGAGUAUAUAUUUUUUCAGCCCUGAAUUCAGGUAAUGUGCAAUUUCUGUUCAUGAACAGAAUUGUUAUCUGAACCCUCUGCAAAGUGCGCCUACAUUGUCUGUCUGCAUAAAGCAGCAACAUUUGUACAGUAGGCUCCCCUACUGAUGCUGUUCUAAUGUCUCCACCCCAUGAACUGUUAAGUGUGAUUCUCAGCAAAAUUACCUAUCUAUUACUUCAAUAAUUGAUGUCUUAUUUCAAUCUGUAUUGUUUAAGGACCUCUGAAAAUGUGGGCCCCUGUGUGGAAAGAUGUUUCACUGUGGGCCCAAAUAAAGCAUUGAGAUUUGUCUGUCUCUGUAUUGGCCAGAUGUGUGUGUGUGUGUGUGUGUGUGUGUGUGUGUGUGUGUGUGUGUGAUGCUGCUCUCCCUGUGAGUGCUGGCAGUGUCGGCUGUGCCGGGACCUCUGAUCUAGCGUUGCUGCAGGACUACAGUAGGACUGACAAAGAACUGUGUAUGAGCUUUCCUGACCAAAUGGUGAGCCUUUUUUACUUCGCAGAGCAUGUCUGGGCACGUCUGCUACCUUUCACCUGGAAUAUGCGCAUCUGGGUACAUACGACUGCAUGCCCAGUUCUGUCUACGCAUGUGUGGUAUUGUUUGCUGUGUCCGCAUCUAGUACUUAUUGACCCUGAUCCUAUUUUAGUGGAGAUGGUCUGUUUUUAGAUCCAGGGAAUCAUUUUUGAAUUGAAAAAGACAAGGGUAGAAUCAAAAUGUAAACCAUGUAUUUCUGAUGUGACCGGAUCUUGAUUGGUUAUUUUAACUCACUCAUCCAAAGUUUUUUUUUUUUUUUGUCUGGCCAUUAAAUCACCAUUGCUUCUGUUAGUUUUCCCACUCCAAGGUGCUUGUUUGUCCAGUGUAGUCUACAGCAGUGUUUCUAACUCCAGUUUGCCCAACAGCACACAUUUGUGUUGUUGCCCCAAACAAACUCACCUGAUUCAACUCAUUGAGGGCCUGAUGAUUAGUUGACUCGGGUGUGCUUGUCCAGGGCUACAACAAAUAUUUGUGCUGUUUGGGGUACUGGAAGACUGGAGUUGGGAAACACUGGUGUGUGUGAACCAUCGCUUACCCUUUGGGCUCGACCCUACAGAGAUGUGAGCGCCUACUGCUUGUCCUUUCAUGCAAAAAGUACAGCAUUGUCCUCUACAGACCAGGAAAGGUAAUCGACAAGUGUAACUUAACGCAUUUAUGCAUACAUAUCCUUAGCAUCCCUCUUUUAGUAUUUCCAUAGAUAGUGUUGGCUAUUAAAAUGUCACACAUAAUCACAAGACUUUGAAUAUCGAUGUGAAUUUAAUGUUAAUAAAGAAUGUUGGUGAUGGUGUUCACUGGAAUGUUUAUUGCCAAAUACGUUGCUGACAAAUGACUGGUCCCUUUAAUGAAGAAUGACUUCAAUUGUGUGUGUCAGAUAUACUGUAUACAAUUGCAGUUUGAUGUUAGUCCGUUGUCUUGACUAGAGAAAUAUUGUAUUUUGACUCUCCCUCUCCUUAGCUCUCUUAACAUCGUCCUGAUACGGGGACUGUUGCUGCGGAAACUGCCCCCUCCCCUCACCGCACCCAGUCAGAAUUUGUGUCCAAUGUCUGGCUUCUCCACACACUGUUGAAGAGCGUGAAGUAUUCCAAGUCAGUGGACCGAUUUGAGGCAUGUUUCGGGAGGGAGCUGGUCAAAACGCUUGUGGGGAUCCUGCACCCUUCGCUGCUCGUCAACCCCCACCAAGGGGAAGCGGAGAGGAGUGCAGAACAAGAGGGGGGCAAGGAGAAAGUGUCCAUGAGGAGAAUCCAAGGCCUCUAGAGGAGCACGCAGGCAGAGUUCUUUCACACAGGACUCGAUGAAAGCUGGAGAAUGGCAGCAGAAGGCCGUAUUUGUGUAUUUAAUUUGGUCUUUGAAUUCCUUGGUGAACAUAUUUGUACAUAGUUGCAGCCAAAUAUUGGCACCCUUGCACUUUUUUUUCCUUUAAAAAAAAAAAUUUCUUCUAAAAUAACUUGAAAUUUGGAAAAACCUUUGGUAUCUACACCUUACUGUAUUUUCAACAUUACAGACCCAAUUUACCCAAUUGGUAAAUUUAAGUUUACAAUUUGGCAUGUACAAAAUGAUUGGCAAGUACUUGGUUGCAUAGCCUUUGGCCAAGAACUACAGACAAAUGCUUCUUGUAGGCAUCAGUAAGGUGGCUGCAUCUUAUUACUGGUGAUUUUACUCAGCCUUCAGAAGCAAACUGCUCUAAUUCUUUAAUGUUUGAGGGGUGCCCUCCACCAACUGCUGUUGUCAGCUCUCGCCAUAGGUUAUGGAUGUGGCAACUGCUCGGCCUCGUUCCUGCCAUCCAGGACCUCCUAUACCAGGCGGUGUCAGAGGAGGCCCUAAAAAUUGUCAGACUCCAGCCACCCUAGUCAUAGACUGUUCUCUCUGCUACCACACGGCAAGCUGUGCCAAGUCUAGGUCCAAAGGUCUUAACAGCUUCUACCCCCAAGCCAUAACUCCUGAACAGCUAAUCAAAUGGCUACCCAGACUAUUUUCAUUGCCCCCUUUCCUGCACCUAUUUUAUGCUGCUGCUACUCUCUGUGUAUUAUCUAUACAUAGUCACUUUAACUCUACCUACAUGUACAUAUUACUUCUACUAACCGGUACCUACUCACAUUGACUCUGUACCGGUAGCCCCUGUAUAUAGCCUCGCUAUUUGUUAUUUUACUGCUGCUCUUUAAUCAUUUGUUACUUUUUAUAUAAUUUGGUUGUGUGUGUAUAUAUAAAAAAUAAAAUAUAUAUAUAUUUUUUUUUACUUAAC
ensembl:lncRNA